rnacentral:rRNA from 1 species
GAACGCUGGCGGCGUGCUUAACACAUGCAAGUCGAACGAGAAGAGAUGAGAAGCUUGCUUCUUAUCAAUUCGAGUGGCAAACGGGUGAGUAACGCGUAAGCAACCUGCCCUUCAGAUGGGGGACAACAGCUGGAAACGGCUGCUAAUACCGAAUACGUUCUUUUUGUCGCAUGGCAGAGAGAAGAAAGGGAGGCUCUUCGGAGCUUUCGCUGAAGGAGGGGCUUGCGUCUGAUUAGCUAGUUGGAGGGGUAACGGCCCACCAAGGCGACGAUCAGUAGCCGGUCUGAGAGGAUGAACGGCCACAUUGGGACUGAGACACGGCCCAGACUCCUACGGGAGGCAGCAGUGGGGAAUCUUCCGCAAUGGACGAAAGUCUGACGGAGCAACGCCGCGUGAACGAUGACGGCCUUCGGGUUGUAAAGUUCUGUUAUACGGGACGAAUGGCGUAGCGGUCAAUACCCGUUACGAGUGACGGUACCGUAAGAGAAAGCCACGGCUAACUACGUG